UCUACGGGUGGCAGCAGUGGGGAAUAUUGGACAAUGGGGGGAACCCUGAUCCAGCCAUGCCGCGUGUGUGAAGAAGGCCCUCGGGUUGUAAAGCACUUUCAGUGAGGAAGAACGCCUGGUGGUUAAUACCCAUCAGGAAAGACAUCACUCACAGAAGAAGCACCGGCUAACUCCGUGCCAGCAGCCGCGGUAAUACGGAGGGUGCGAGCGUUAAUCGGAAUUACUGGGCGUAAAGCGCGCGUAGGUGGCUUGAUAAGCCGGUUGUGAAAGCCCCGGGCUCAACCUGGGAACGGCAUCCGGAACUGUCAAGCUAGAGUGCAGGAGAGGAAGGUAGAAUUCCCGGUGUAGCGGUGAAAUGCGUAGAGAUCGGGAGGAAUACCAGUGGCGAAGGCGGCCUUCUGGACUGACACUGACACUGAGGUGCGAAAGCGUGGGUAGCAAACAGGAUUAGAUACCCGAGUAGUC
rnacentral:rRNA from 1 species